AUAAACGCUGGCGGCGCACAUAAGACAUGCAAGUUGAACGGACUUAAUCGAAAUAUUUAUAUUUUGAAGCGGUUAGUGGCGGACUGGUGAGUAACGCGUAAGGAACCUGCCUAUUAGAGGGGAAUAACAGUGAGAAAUCAUUGCUAAUACCGCAUAUGCCAUAGAUAUCACAUGAUAACAGUGGGAAAGGAGCAAUCCGCUAAUAGAUGGCCUUGCGUCUGAUUAGAUAGUUGGUGGGGUAACGGCCUACCAAGUCGACGAUCAGUAGCCGGACUGAGAGGUUGAACGGCCACAUUGGGACUGAGAUACGGCCCAGACUCCUACGGGAGGCAGCAGUCGGGAAUAUUGCGCAAUGGAGGAAACUCUGACGCAGUGACGCCGCGUAUAGGAAGAAGGUUCUCGGAUUGUAAACUAUUGUCGUUAGGGAAGAGAAAGGACAGUACCUAAGGAGGAAGCUCCGGCUAACUACGUG
rnacentral:rRNA from 1 species